AAUAUAUAGAUGUAUAGUUCAAAACAGUUACAUAUCGGGGCCAAUAGAGAAUUGGAAGGCGGGUAAUCACCAAAACCCCCCACGCUCACAGCAAAGAGAAGAGAGCGAGAGAGGGAAUGGAGAGAAUGCACGUCUCCGUGAGAGUGAGGCCUCUCUCCACCGAGGAUGCCAAGGCCAGUCCAUGGCGUAUUUCUGGGAAUUCUAUUUUCAUACCCAACCAACCCUCCAAAUUUGAAUUUGUUACUGGUUGCAUUCUGUUGUCUUACUGGUUGGUUCUGUAAGGCACUGUUUUUGCAUAUGGACAAACAAGUAGUGGAAAAACGCACACAAUGCGUGGAUCAAAGUCUGAGCUUGGAGUCAUCCCCCUUGCUGUCCAUGAUCUUUUUAACAUUAUACAACAGGUACUCAUUCCCACGGUGGCCUCUCUUGGUUUCUUUAUUGCUUAUGAAUAUCUUUUACCAGUAGGAUAGCCAAAUAGAAGUUUGUUUAUGUCAAAA